rnacentral:misc_RNA from 1 species
AGCAGCCGCGGUAAUUCCAGCUCCAAUAGCGUAUAUUAAAGUUGUUGCAGUUAAAAAGCUCGUAGUUGAAUUUCGGGAUCAAAGGAUCGGUCAUGCCUUGGUAUGUACUGGUUUUAUUGGUUCUCACCUUCUAAAGAACCAUAAUGUCAUCCAUUUGAUGUUAUGGGGAAUUAGGACUGUUACCUUGAAAAAAUUAGAGUGUUUAAAGCAGGCUUACGCUUGAAUACAUUAGCAUGGAAUAAUGAAAUAGGACAUCAGAUUCUAUUUUGUUGGUUUCUAGGAUCGAUGUAAUGAUUAAUAGGGAUAGUUGGGGGCAUUAGUAUUCAAUUGUCAGAGGUGAAAUUCUUGGAUUUAUUGAAGACUAACUACUGCGAAAGCAUUUGCCAAGGAUGUUUUCAUUAAUCAAGAACGAAAGUUAGGGGAUCGAAGACGAUCAGAUACCGUCGUAGUCUUAACCAUAAACUAUGCCGACUAGGGAUCGGAUGAUGUUAAUUUUAUAAUGACUCAUUCGGCACCUUAC